CAAGGAAUUUUCCCCAAUGGGCGCAAGCCUGAGGGAGCAACGCCGCGUGCAGGACGACGGCCUUCGGGUUGUAAACUGCUUUUGCGUGGGACGAUAACGACGGUACCACGCGAAUCAGCCCCGGCUAACUCUGUGCCAGCAGCCGCGGUAAUACGGAGGGAGCUAGCGUUGUUCGGAAUUACUGGGCGUAAAGCGCGCGUAGGCGGCCAUUCAAGUCAGAGGUGAAAGCCCGGGGCUCAACUCCGGAACUGCCUUUGAAACUAGAUGGCUAGAAUCCAGGAGAGGUGAGUGGAAUUCCGAGUGUAGAGGUGAAAUUCGUAGAUAUUCGGAAGAACACCAGUGGCGAAGGCGACUCACUGGACUGGUAUUGACGCUGAGGUGCGAAAGCGUGGGGAGCAAACAGGAUUAGAUACCCGCGUAGUCC
rnacentral:rRNA from 1 species